ACUGCACACUGUUAAAGCUCAGAGAUGAGACCAGUUUCUGGCCGUUGAACUCUUGAGUGUCGGAAGUGUGCUAUAGUAAAUGUUGGCAGGAUUUUCGCUAACACCAGGAGAGUUCUGCUCGAUGACUGGAGUUUGAUAGUAUUCACUGCCACAUUU